rnacentral:hammerhead_ribozyme from 1 species
AUCCAGUUGACGAGUCCCAAAUCGGACGAAACGCAUGUCCUGAAU